rnacentral:rRNA from 1 species
UACGUAGGGGGCUAGCGUUGUCCGGAAUCAUUGGGCGUAAAGCGCGUGUAGGCGGUCCGGUAAGUCCGCUGUGAAAGUCGGGGGCUCAACCCUCGAAUGCCGGUGGAUACUGUCGGGCUAGAGUGCGGAAGAGGCGAGUGGAAUUCCUGGUGUAGCGGUGAAAUGCGCAGAUAUCAGGAGGAACACCAGCGGCGAAGGCGGCGCUCUGGGCCGGUACUGACGCUGAGGAGCGAAAGCGUGGGGAGCAAACAGG